UGGGGAAUAUUGGACAAUGGGGGCAACCCUGAUCCAGCAAUGCCGCGUGUGUGAAGAAGGUCUUCGGAUUGUAAAGCACUUUCGACGGGGACGAUGAUGACGGUACCCGUAGAAGAAGCCCCGGCUAACUUCGUGCCAGCAGCCGCGGUAAUACGAGGGGGGCUAGCGUUGCUCGGAAUGACUGGGCGUAAAGGGCGUGUAGGCGGUUUACACAGUCAGAUGUGAAAUCCCCGGGCUUAACCUGGGAGCUGCAUUUGAUACGUGUAGACUAGAGUGUGAGAGAGGGUUGUGGAAUUCCCAGUGUAGAGGUGAAAUUCGUAGAUAUUGGGAAGAACACCGGUGGCGAAGGCGGCAACCUGGCUCAUGACUGACGCUGAGGCGCGAAAGCGUGGGGAGCAAACAGGAUUAGAUACCCUGGUAGUCCACGCUGUAAACGAUGUGUGCUAGAUGUUGGGUACUUUGUUAUUC
rnacentral:rRNA from 1 species